GCGACCCCCGGCCUCUCCGCGCCUGGGCGCCCCGUUCCUCGCCUGCCGGAGCGGCGCUCUCAACCUCCCUUGCCCUACCCUACCUCCCCAGUCCCCCGCCGGAAUUUGGGGCUCCGGCCUGGGCGGGGCCGAGGGCGGAGCUCCCACCUCAGGGGCAGGACUCCCGUCGGUGCAGGGGCCCGGGUGCCGCGUCACUAGGAGCCCGGCGGAGCCGGGGCGCACGGUCUUCGGGUCUCCCUACCCCCUACCCGAGUCCCGAACGGCCGAGGCGGAGCGCCUUCUCCCGACUGAGGGCCCGCCCCCUUACUCCUCGGGCCCCAGACCCGGCCCCGCCCUGGAGGCUGCGCCCGCCCUGCCCGAACCCGGUUUGUCUGGUUCUCCCCGAGAGGCUUGUUUCUCGAAUUUCUCCCUUUCCCCCUCUUCCCGGACCUCCGGGGCCCUCCCUCUCGGCCCGGCUCCCCGGGGCCCCCGCGGGGGGCGUCUCGACAUCGCGAGCCAGCCGAGUUUCGAACAAAGAUUCCUGCACCGGCCUGUGGGAGGCGUGUCGGUUGAGCUUCGGCCAAUGCCAGAGAUGGACCCUGCUUUGGAGCUGCGGGGAAGAUUUGAGCAGCAGAAGCUUUUAAGUGAAAGAAAAGAGAGGUGCAGUCACUUGCCCAAGGACACAGCCAGUACGCAGCAGAACGCGGGGCCCCACAUCCUCAGGCCUCGCUCCAGAGUGGGUGCUGGCGCGCCUGGGAGCACACCUUCCACUAUCCUCCCUGCGGUAGAACCUGGACUUCUGCUCCAGGCUUGGACUGUCACGUGGCACUCUCGCCCUCCACUGCAUCUGUGAGGCUGGCGGAAGCGGAACACCUCGGUUCAGUUCGCUUAUGGGAAGUUUGCCGUUACCCCCAGAGCCCCAAGAAACAGAAAACAGAAUGGGUGAAUUUAGAGCAGUGGUUCUCACUGGCUGCCCACAAGAAUACUUAGGGGAGCUUCACAAAACCCCAGUGCUCAAGCCAUAUCCCAGACCAAUUAACCAGAAUCUCUGGGGUGGAGCCCAGGCAUUAGUAGUCGUUAAGGAUCCCCAGGUGAAUUAAAUGUCCGGCCAAGGUGGGGAAUCACUAGUUUAGAGGCCUUGUAGCUUGGUAGAAAUAGCCGUGGUUUAAGAUCCACCUGGGUUUGAGACUUGGCUCUGCCAUUGCAAGCUGUGUGACUGUAUGCCAGUCACUUAACUUCUCUGAGCCUCAAUUUCCUUAUCUGUGGAAACGGUAUAAGUCCCUCUACUUUAUGUGAGGGCUGAAUGAGACAAUGUCUGUAAGGCCCCCAGCACAGAGCAGGCACUCAGCCCCAUCCUUACUAUUAAGGAGGGGGCAGGACAGACCAGCCUGUGCAGGACCAUCCAGGGAGGCAGAGCUGUGCCAGUGACUCACCAUCACUAGGUUGAGGCUGUGGAAUGGACUCUCGGGGCUGCUGGGACCCUCAAACCCCAGGCCCUCCAGCCUUGGUCUUCCACCCUUACGGAGGGACUUGAGGCUUCUGAGUAGGGUGGCGACAGGAACCUACCCGCUGCGAGAGGGUCAGCCAGGCUGAAGGAGAGGACCACUGGGAAUAACGCAAAGAUUUUCGAAAACUUUUUUGAGUACUAGAAUACAAAAAGUUGGAAAAAAAAGAUAAGACAAUCUAUGCCCAGCCCUGGAGGGUUGAUAGUGGUGAAGCAUGAGAAGUGUCUUCUGGGCUUUGUUGCUUGCCCCUGCAUGGAUCUUUGGAGCAGCCAGCGGGACACCUUUCUCCACCGCACGUGUGUCAGUGUCUGUCUGUACCUGACCCAGAGGGCAGCGCCUCCAAGCAUACGAAUCCAGGGACAACUGCACUUUCAUUAUGAACAGCUGGAUCAUAAAGAGUCAACAGAACAAUCUGCAGUCCUUUAGGGAAGAUGACAAUGGCUGUGUCAGUGCUAUUUACUGCAUAAGAAUUAUGAAGCUUAAGUGGGGCUUUGUCAAUUCCGAUUGGAAUGUCGUGGUCUUCUCCUUCGCCAACUAUGAACCCCACAUCUCUGCAAUCAAACAUCCUUCCACCACAGCGGCCUUCCAGGUGGACUGAGGGAGAGGAGAAGGACAGUCAACAGAGCUGCUCUUCGUGACUAAUUCAGGGACCUGAUAAAUGAGUAGCUCCCCUUCCUCAUUUCAUCUAGGACAUACGUGGUAUGUCUUGUUGAAGCUUAGUCUACCCAGUCUGGAAAUUUAAGAGCAAUCAUAUUUCUUUCUGUUUUAAGUUUAAACUUAUAAUUACUGAUAACUACAUCAGUAAGAUAGCUUAGAGGAUAAUAAAGUGGAAACACAGGUUUAACUUAAACCUACUAUAUGACAGAGGUUUCCUCACCUAUAACACAAAACAAGAAAUACUAGAUUAUUUAAUAGGUAAUUAUCAAAAUGCCACAAACUUAAUAUCAAGUAUACAAAGGCUUAAACAUUUAUAACUGCAUCUUGGCUUCGGAUGCUUGGGUUGAAAAACAACCGAAUGGCUAUUUCCCCAGUGAUAUUAAAGGGUUAACUGAAUAUAGAAGCUCUUUUUUUUUUCUUUAAGGGUUUUAAUCUCAUUCACAAAUAUGUCUGAAUAAAAAUGAAAAGGCCAAAGGCAACAUCAUCAAUAACUAACAUAUCUGUAAUCCCUUAGUGCAGUAAAAAAUGUAAAAUGUGAAGGAAUCAAUAGUCUCCUAUAACUCGACAAAUCAAAUUACUCAACCCCCUCCUCUGAAAUGUUAAGUGAAGAGGUCAAUUUCUCAGGGUCUACUUCCUCAUUGCACUCAAACUCAGCUCAUUCCCAGGGUAAUUUUACAUUAGAUAAGGGGCUUUUAUGUUCAUAUAAAAUAGGAAAACACAUACAGAUAUAUAUUUUUCUCUUGGUUAGUUAGACUUUUUCUUCUGGGAUAAAUUCUUUGAAACUUUCCAACUAUGUUUAAUAUUACGGAUAUUCAUUCCUUUCCACUUAGGUCUUUCAUUCAGUCAGAAAAAUGGAUGGCUUGUAUGACAGCACAACAGUCGACAAGCAAUGUAAUAAUUUGUCUUUCAUAAGAAAAUUUUUUAUUCCUACUUCUGUAAUAUAAUGGCCUUGAUUCAAAUGUAAGGAAUUCCUAAAAUGCUUCUUUUCUGAGACUGGUUGAUCUAUUUUAGAUCAAUAACUUGCUUUAGAGAUAAAAAUCACUUGUUCUGUUACAUUCGUUCCAGGAGACAAUUAUUUUCCAAAUUCAAUUCCAACUUACUCUACUUUUGAACUACUUGAUCUCAAAGGUCCUUUGAAGCUCUAAAAUUCUACGAUUCUAUGGCCCAGUAAUAUAACUCUCAAUGUAGACCAGAAACCAGCUUCAAAGCUAAUUCCUGUAGUUAAUCAUUUCAUCAGGUUACCUUUAGCCCAGGCCUAGGAAAUGAGAGAAACCCUGAAGAGUAAACAGCAGUGGCAUAGACACUAGGGGCAGAAAUGUCACAUGGACAUUUAUGCUUUGAAGUUCUCUACCGUUUUCUAAGUCACUAGGAUUAAUACCAUCCCGAUUUGUUCCCGUUGCAGACAUAGGGUGGAGUCGAAGACGCUUGGGCCAAACUAGAGAAGGCCUGACUCUCGAGUCAGACCUUCUAAACAGGGGCAAGAGCUAGACUGGCUCUCAGGGUGGAGCUGGCAUACAGAAAUUUUGUUCUAUGUCCCAUACUCAUAAAUGCACAUGACUUUCUAUUAACUCACUUUUGGAAUGUUCUAGAUAAAAUACAGCUUAGCUUGCAGCACAGUGAAAGUUCUUUUGAAUUGGAAAUAGUUUCAAAAUAAAUUCAACUUUAUUAUUUUCAAAUACGUACACACUAGAGAGGUUCUGCAAGGAAUCCUAGGCUUAAGAUAUUUUUUACUGGAGUAAAAGCUGGUGUCUCUAAAGAAUUUGAGAGUUUGAAAAUUUGUGUUCUUAAAUAUUUUUAAAUCUGCCCAAGAAAUUUAAUUUAGACUAAUGUGAUGACACUUUUCAUGAGAAAAGAUUUGCUGAGCAAAGUGAGUUUCGGCCCACAUAUUAUAGAAUAUCUCAAGCAUUGAGAUUUAUUAUCCUAGUAGCUCACAACUUAGUUGACAGAUCUUUUUGAGUGAGGUUUAUUGUUAGAAGUGUUUCCUCCCUGAUGGAGAGUACAUUUAGUGGGGGAGGAAACUAUCAGUACAUUCGUUGUGGUUUUUGGUUGAUCAAGUUUGAAUGUGUUUUCAAAACAGGAAAUCCAGAGACUCUGUGAAGGAUUCCUGCCUGUGUGUCAGUUUCCUAGGCUGGUUUUUCAGCUUGAUGCAUAUACUUGAUAUUAAAAUUAUAUAAAUAA